rnacentral:tRNA from 1 species
GUAGCGUCAUGGAUAGCGCAUUGAACUUCUAAUCCAAAGGUCGUGGGUUCGAAUCCUAACUGCA